UCGACGAAGAGGAGAGCUUGCUCUUCUCUUAGUGGCGAACGGGUGAGUAAUACAUAAGCAAUCUGCCCAUGGGACUGGGAUAACUAUUGGAAACGAUAGCUAAUACCGGAUAGGUGAGCUGGGGACAUCCCCUACUCAUUAAAGUUGGGUUAAACCAACACCUGUGGAUGAGCUUAUGGCGCAUUAGCUAGUUGGUGAGGUAACGGCCCACCAAGGCGGUGAUGCGUAGCCGACCUGAGAGGGUGACCGGCCACACUGGGACUGAGACACGGCCCAGACUCCUACGGGAGGCAGCAGUAGGGAAUUUUCGGCAAUGGGCGAAAGCCUGACCGAGCAACGCCGCGUGAGUGAUGAAGGUCUUCGGAUUGUAAAGCUCUGUUGUCAGGGAAGAACGACCAGACGAGGAAAUGCGUUUGGAGUGACGGUACCUGACCAGAAAGCCACGGCUAACUACGUGCCAGCAGCCGCGGUAAUACGUAGGUGGCAAGCGUUAUCCGGAAUUAUUGGGCGUAAAGGGUGCGUAGGCGGUUUGAUAAGUCUAAGGUGAAAGUUCGGAGCUUAACUCCGGAUUGCCUUAGAAACUGUCAGACUAGAGUGCAGGAGAGGGCAAUGGAAUUCCAUGUGUAGCGGUAAAAUGCGUAGAUAUAUGGAGGAACACCAGUGGCGAAGGCGGUUGCCUGGCCUGUAACUGACGCUGAAGCACGAAAGCGUGGGGAGCAAAUAGGAUUAGAUACCCUAGUAGUCCACGCUGUAAACGAUGAUUACUAAGUGUUGGGGAAACUCAGUGCUGCAGUUAACGCAAUAAGUAAUCCGCCUGGGGAGUAUGCACGCAAGUGUGAAAC
rnacentral:rRNA from 1 species